GAUCAUGGCUCAGGAUGAACGCUGGCGGCGUGCUUAACACAUGCACGUCGAACGAAGCACCUUGAUUUGAUUCUUCGGAUGAAGAUCUUGGUGACUGAGUGGCGGACGGGUGAGUAACGCGUGGGUAACCUGCCUCAUACAGGGGGAUAACAGUUAGAAAUGACUGCUAAUACCGCAUAAGCCCACAGGUCGGCAUCGACCAGAGGGAAAAGGAGCAAUCCGCUUUGAGAUGG
rnacentral:rRNA from 1 species